CACGUAGGGCGCAAGCGUUGUCCGGAAUCACUGGGCGUAAAGGGUGCGUAGGCGGGUCUUUAAGUCAGGGGUGAAAUCCUGGAGCUCAACUCCAGAACUGCCUUUGAUACUGAAGAUCUUGAGUUCGGGAGAGGUGAGUGGAACUGCGAGUGUAGAGGUGAAAUUCGUAGAUAUUCGCAAGAACACCAGUGGCGAAGGCGGCUCACUGGCCCGAUACUGACGCUGAGGCACGAAAGCGUGGGGAGCAAACAGG
rnacentral:rRNA from 1 species